AAUCGCAAGCGGAAGAGACAGAUAGUGCAUCU
rnacentral:sRNA from 1 species